AAUAUUGGACAAUGGGGGAAACCCUGAUCCAGCGAUGCCGCGUGGGUGAAGAAGGCCUUCGGGUUGUAAAGCCCUUUAGGUUGGGAAGAAGUGCAUCUGUUUAAGAGAUAGAUGUGUUGACGGUACCAACAAAAUAAGCACCGGCAAACUCUGUGCCAGCAGCCGCGGUAAUACAGAGGGUGCAAGCGUUAAUCGGAUUUACUGGGCGUAAAGAGCAUGUAGGUGGUUGUGUGUGUGUGAUGUGAAAGCCCCGGGCUUAACCUGGGAAGUGCAUCGCAAACUGCACAACUAGAGUAUAGGAGAGGGUGAUGGAAUUUCCGGUGUAGCGGUGAAAUGCGUAGAGAUCGGAAGGAACGUCGAUGGCGAAGGCAGUCACCUGGCCUAAUACUGACACUGAGAUGCGAAAGCGUGGGGAGCGAACAGGAUUAGAUACCCUGGUAGUCCACGCCGUA
rnacentral:rRNA from 1 species